UACGUAGGGGGCAAGCGUUGUCCGGAAUCAUUGGGCGUAAAGCGCGUGUAGGCGGCCCGAUAAGUCCGCUGUGAAAGUCCAGGGCUCAACCCUGGGAUGCCGGUGGAUACUGUCGGGCUCGAGUCCGGAAGAGGCGAGUGGAAUUCCUGGUGUAGCGGUGAAAUGCGCAGAUAUCAGGAGGAACACCAGUGGGCGAAAGGCAG
rnacentral:rRNA from 1 species